GAGCGACCCAGCCAGUCGGGUCCAUCCUGCAGUAAAUGCACAACCCGGACGGAAGUGCCUCUCCGACAGCAGAUCCAGGCUCGGAGCUCCAGACGCUGGGACAGGUGACCCGGGGCGGUAGCGAGCCGGACGGCCUUGCAGGCCGCCCGCAGACCACCCCCGCCGCGCGCGGGACACGACGCCCCCCGCAGGACCCGCCCAUCAGCCCGGAAAUCCCUGAGCUGCUUCUCCCGGAGGCCGAUGCCCACCCGGGAGCCCCCAAAGACUCGCGGCUCCCGGGGGCACCUGCAUACUCACCCGCCUGGGCCUGGGCCCCCGCUGCAGGGACUGGCGCCCCGAGGCCUCAAAACCAGCGCCCCCCGCCCUCCGUGCCAGCCCCAGCCGGGACCCCACAAGGCAAAGACCAAGAAGAUUGUGUUUGAGGAUGAGUUGCUCUCCCAGGCCCUCCUGGGCGCCAAGAAGCCUAUUGGAGCCGUCCCUAAGGGGCAUAAGCCUAGGCCCCACCCAGUGCCCGACUAUGAGCU
rnacentral:sRNA from 1 species